GAUGAACGCUGGCGGCGUGCCUAAUACAUGCAAGUCGAGCGAACGGACGAGAAGCUUGCUUCUCUGAUGUUAGCGGCGGACGGGUGAGUAACACGUGGAUAACCUACCUAUAAGACUGGGAUAACUUCGGGAAACCGGAGCUAAUACCGGAUAAUAUUUUGAACCGCAUGGUUCAAAAGUGAAAGACGGUCUUGCUGUCACUUAUAGAUGGAUCCGCGCUGCAUUAGCUAGUUGGUAAGGUAACGGCUUACCAAGGCAACGAUGCAUAGCCGACCUGAGAGGGUGAUCGGCCACACUGGAACUGAGACACGGUCCAGACUCCUACGGGAGGCAGCAGUAGGGAAUCUUCCGCAAUGGGCGAAAGCCUGACGGAGCAACGCCGCGUGAGUGAUGAAGGUCUUCGGAUCGUAAAACUCUGUUAUUAGGAAGAACAUAUGUGUAAGUAACUGUGCACAUCUUGACGGUACCUAAUCAGAAAGCCACGGCUAACUACGUG
rnacentral:rRNA from 1 species